AGGUGCGGGCCGGGGGUGACGGACACGGCCGCUCUGAGCGAGCGAGGGAGGGAGAUGAGGAGGCGCUCGUCCUGCAGGUGCCGAGCGGGCAGUUUCCAGCUCCAGACCUUCCCUGGGGUGGAAGAUACGGCUGGCUCCUGAGUCACAGCCCGGCGCUCUCACAUGCCCCGUAGGAGGGUCCCACGCUUUGCUCUGGCUGCUCUCCGUGCUCGCGCACUGCCGGCGUUCCAGUCGAUCAUUGCUGCCAAACCUAAACAGAGCUCCGUGCACUGCGUGCCAAAAAUGUCUGCUGAAAAGUCACCAGACCGAAGGUCCACGGGGGACGUGAAACAGGAAAAUUUGCAUCGCUGGAGUGGAUCAAUUUUUCUACAUUUUUCACAUUGCCCAAAAAACUGAAUCCACAUCGUAUGGAGCAGCAGAGAGGAAUUGCUUCCUGUGGUUUUGAUACCAAUUAUAAGACCCCGAUUUUCAGACAAGAUGAUCAGAGAGAAAACAGAGGAUGCAGAGGAUGUGCCCAUUACUGGAUUCCUCCCAGGGACAUGUGACUAGGUGGUGCCUCAUGAGCCAGCGCCAGGAGUGUCUGCUGCAGCCAGUGACCCAGCAGAGGUGACGGGGAAUGUCAGCCUUUGCAGGGUGUGAUGCUGGCAUGAUCUAUGCUCCCAGAGCAGUGGUCUAAGAGAAGGAGGAAGAGAUACCCUGAUGUUUUCCCUCUACAAAUCCCAGGGCAUAGAAAUCUCACGAAUAAAGCUUCCAUGUCACCAGGAUAAGAAGCUUCCAUGCUCUUGGCCGUUGUACUUUAAGCCCAGACUCUUAGCACUGAAAUGCCUGAAAUGCUUGGCUCUAGUGGGGCUGGGCACUUUCCAGACUGCUGACAGCACUGAAAACACUCACCACGAUUAUAUAAAUAACAGUAAUUAUAAUGAGGGAGUCCUAUAAUUACAAAGGGAGGGCUCCUGUAACAGCACUGAAGGCAACCAGGGGCUGCUGGUGCUUGAGGCAGGACUCUCCUGUGUCUCCUCCCUCCAGGCAUCCUGCAACUGACUUGGGAUGUAAAUGGAUCCUCCUGGUAGCAGUGUGGCAGGCUCAGGGCUUUGAUUGUAUGGUUUAUUUGUCAAUAAUAUCUGAUGGCCGCCUAAUUGUUGGAAAAUUGGAAAGUGUAAUGCUUCAGCAUUAGACACCAGUGUCCCAAAGCCCUCCAGGCUGAUUGAUCUGUCUGGACUGUAACUUACAGGGGAUUAUGUCCCUGAACUAUGUGGAGCCAAAACUAAUGAGUGUUUAGGGGCUGGACUUAAACUUGGUGGUAGGUCAGGGCUUGGU